rnacentral:rRNA from 1 species
GACGAACGCUGGCGGCGUGCUUAACACAUGCCAGUCGAGCGGAAAGGCCCUGCGUUUGUGGGGUGCUCGAGAGGCGAACGGAUGAGUAACACGAGAGUAACCUGCCCUUGACUUUGGGAUAACUUCAGGAAACUGGUGCUAAUACCGGAUAGGAGCUCCUGCUGCAUGGUGAGGAAUGGAAAGGUUCGGCGGUUGGGGAUUGACUCGCUGCUUAUCUGCGGGUUGGUGGGGUAUUGGCUUGCCAAGGAUUUGGAGGGUAGCCGGCCUGAGAGGGUGACCGGCACCAGGGGGACUGAGAUACGGCACAGACUAGUACGGGAGGUAGCAGUGUGGUAGGUUGCAUGAUGGGGCGAAGCCUGAUGCAGCAACGCCGCGUGCGGGAUGAUGGCCUGCGGUUUGAAAACCGCUUUCGCCUGUGCCUAAGCGUGAGUGACGGUACCGGAUAAAGAAGCACCGGCUAACUACGUG